UGAAGUCAGAAUUUCUCCCAUACAACUGAUUCUAUACUCCAUCCCAACACAUCAUUCUAUACCUCAAUUUCCAUAAAGAAAACUCAUACAAAUGUAAAUGUAGAACUGUCAGCAUAAACUUGAACUAAUUUCAAGCACUCUUUCACCUAAUAUCAAUACAUCUUCAGGUUUGUGCAUCAAAUCUCAAUAUCUACUGUCCACUACUCUCAAAAGGUGAGCAUACAGAUGUCUACAUUAGUUGCACAAUGGUUCAGUUGUUUAAACACUGUUUAUCAAGCAGGUAAUGUUCCAUGAAUGUUUUUUCAGAUUUCUGCAAUAUGCUACACUUCAAACUUCCCUCUCCAUUAUAUGAUUCUCCGCUCCAGAUCUGUUUUUAUAAAACGGCACAAAACCGAUAAGAAGGUUUGUGCAUCAAAACCCAAUAUCUACUGUCCAAUCUACUCUCAAAACAUUUCUGCAAUAUGCUACAUGUGAAACUUCCUUGUCCGAUAUUUCAUUCUCUAUGCCAUGAACUGUUUUUAUGAAGAGGCACAUAACCGAUAAAAAGGUAAAUUGAAUUAAUAUAAUAUCUAACAAAUCAGUCAGUUCAAAUUUUGCAAAGCACUUAACCUGUUAAUGCAAUUUCAGGUUUGUGCAUCAAAACCCAAUAUCUACGGUCCACGACUAUCAAAAGGUGAGUGUAUAGAUGUCUACAUUAGUUGCACAAUGUUUUAGUUGUGUAAACACUGUUUAUCAAGCAGUUAAUGUUCCUUCAACGUAUAUUUUCAGAUUUCUGCAAUACGCUACACUUCAAACUUCCCUCUCCAUUAUAUGAUUCUAAGCUUCAUGAUCUGUUUCUAUGAAGCGGCACAAAACCGAUAAAAAGGUAAACUGAAUUAAUAUAAUAUCUGCAAAAUUUGAACCAAUUUGUUCAAGCACUUAUUACAAUUUCAGGUUUGUGCAUCAAAUCUCAACAACUACUGUCCACUACUCUAAGGUAAGUGUGCAGAUGUCUACAUUAUUUGCUAAAUGUUUUAGAUGUGCAAACACUUUAUCAAGGAGUUAAUGUUCCAUGAAUAUAUUUUCAGAUUUCUGCAAUGCGCUACAUGUGAAACUUCCUCCUCCAUUACAUGGUUCUCUGUGCCAUGAACCGUUUUUAUGAAGAGGCACACAACCGAUUAAAAAGGUACAAUUAACUGCAUGUCUGCAAAGAUUGAACUGACUUUCUCGAAGCACUGUUUCACCUGUUAAUAUAUUUUCAGGUUUGUGCAUUAAAGCUCAAUCUCUAUGGUCCACUACUCUUAAAAGGUGAGUGUACAUAUUUUGCAACUAAGAGACAUACCAUGUUUUAGUUGUGUAAACAUUAAUCAGGCAGUUAAUUUUCUAUGAAUGUAUUUUCAGAUUUCUGCAAUGUGCUACAUGUGAAACUUCCUCAUCCUAUAGUUGAUUCUCUAUGCCAUGAACUUUUAUGAAGAGGCACACAACCAAUAAAAAGGUACAUUUUAAUUGAUAUCUGCA
ensembl:lncRNA